rnacentral:rRNA from 1 species
UAUUGCACAAUGGGGGAAACCCUGAUGCAGCGACGCCGCGUGAGUGAAGAAGUAUUUCGGUAUGUAAAGCUCUAUCAGCAGGGAAGAAAGAAAUGACGGUACCUGACUAAGAAGCCCCGGCUAACUACGUGCCAGCAGCCGCGGUAAUACGUAGGGGGCAAGCGUUAUCCGGAUUUACUGGGUGUAAAGGGAGCGUAGACGGUGAUGUAAGUCUGGAGUGAAAGGCGGGGGCCCAACCCCCGGACUGCUCUGGAAACUAUGUGACUGGAGUGCAGGAGAGGUGAGCGGAAUUCCUAGUGUAGCGGUGAAAUGCGUAGAUAUUAGGAGGAACACCAGUGGCGAAGGCGGCUCACUGGACUGUAACUGACACUGAUGCUCGAAAGUGUGGGUAUCAAAC